rnacentral:rRNA from 1 species
UACAGAGGGUGCGAGCGUUGUCCGGAAUCAUUGGGCGUAAAGGGCGCGUAGGCGGCGGGGUAAGUCUGGUGUGAAAUCUCGGAGCUCAACUCCGAAAUUGCACUGGAUACUGCUCUGCUAGAGGGCUGGAGAGGAGAUCGGAAUUCACGGUGUAGCAGUGAAAUGCGUAGAUAUCGUGAGGAAGACCAGUGGCGAAGGCGGAUCUCUGGACAGCUCCUGACGCUGAGGCGCGAAGGCUAGGGGAGCAAACGGG